UACGGAGGGUGCAAGCGUUAAUCGGAAUUACUGGGCGUAAAGCGUGCGUAGGCGGUUCGUUAAGUCUGUUGUGAAAGCCCCGGGCUUAACCUGGGAACUGCGUUUGAUACGGAUGGGCUAGAGUUCGGGAGAGGAGAGUGGAAUUCCCAGUGUAGAGGUGAAAUUCGUAGAUAUUGGGAAGAACACCGGUGGCGAAGGCGGCUCUCUGGACCGAUACGUGACGCUGAGGCGCGAAAGCGUGGGGAGCAAACAGG
rnacentral:rRNA from 1 species